rnacentral:rRNA from 1 species
CACCUCUAGCAUUUCCAGUAUUAGAGGCACUGCCUGCCCAGUGACAUCUGUUUAAAUGGCCGCGGUAUCCUAACCGUGCAAAGGUAGCAUAAUCACUUGUUCCCUAAAUAGGGACUUGUAUGAAUGGCCACACGAGGGUUUUACUGUCUCUUACUUCCAAUCAGUGAAAUUGACCUUCCCGUGAAGAGGCGGGAAUGAUUAGAUAAGACGAGAAGACCCUAUGGAGCUUUAAUUAACUGAUUCACAAAAAACAACACACAAACCUAACCUUCAGGGACAACAAAACUUUUGAUUGAAUCAGCAAUUUCGGUUGGGGUGACUUCGGAGAACAAAACAACCUCCGAGUGAUUUAAAUCCAGACUAACCAGUCAAAAUAUAUAAUCACUUAUUGAUCCAAACCAUUGAUCAACGGAACAAGUUACCCUAGGGAUAACAGCGCAAUCCUAUUCCAGAGUCUAUAUCGACAAUUAGGGUUUACGACCUCGAUGUUGGAUCAAGACAUCCUAAUGGUGCAACCGCUAUUAAGGGUUCGUUUGUUCAACGAUUAAAGUCUU